GAUAUACCUGUGCGUAAGCCGAUUUUGUAUCAUUAUUAUUUGUCCUUUCGGCCUGAACACAUCAAAAUUUGUUGUCUAGUCUCAAAUUAUAUCUUUUUGUUCGGUUCAAAAACCUUUACGAAUUAAUCAUGUGCUGCGGACCCUGUGGACCCUGUUGCGGACCUUGCUGCGGACCCUGCUGUGGUCCAUGCGGACCAUGCGGAGGCGGAUGUGGACCCUGCUAUGGACCGAAUGUCUGCGGACCAUGCUAUGCCUGUGGACCCUGUGGCGGCUGCUACUGUGGAUACCCUUGCUGCUAGACGGUUGCCCAAGAAGGGUUCAGCAGAACCCUUAGUCAUCCUCGUGCUCAUCUAAUCUUCGUGAACCCCACAAAUAGGUAUUUGAGACAAUAAAAAUGAAGUGUCCGCUUCGA